UACGUAGGGGGCUAGCGUUGUCCGGAAUCAUUGGGCGUAAAGCGCGUGUAGGCGGCCCGGUAAGUCCGCUGUGAAAGUCGGGGGCUCAACCCUCGAAAGCCGGUGGAUACUGUCGGGCUAGAGUACGGAAGAGGCGAGUGGAAUUCCUGGUGUAGCGGUGAAAUGCGCAGAUAUCAGGAGGAACACCGGUGGCGAAGGCGGUUCUCUGGGCCUGUACUGACGCUGAGGAGCGAAAGCGUGGGGAGCGAACAGG
rnacentral:rRNA from 1 species